GCAGGCAGAGAGAGAGAGAACACCUGGAGGCUGCUGAAAAAGGUUUCCCUCUGCUGCAGUGAGUGGAUUCACUAUGGGGGGGUUCAUGUUAACUCUGCUGUGUCUUUGGCUGCAGGGUGGUGGGCUGUGAGCGACAAUGUGCACCACCAUCAUGUUUCUCUCCACUCUGGCUUUUGUACUGCGCAAACACUUCUCCAGCCAAACCAAGACCUUUCCAAAAGGCUUGGGGGAGAAGGAGGCGUCCCGGGUGCAGCAGAGCAGCAGAGACUCUGAGAAAUGAGGCUCAGUGUGUUACCAGGCAUCCAUCACAGAUGUGGGUUUUAGACGUAGAGGCUGUCCUCAGGUCCAUGGCAAGACAGCUGAGUGCUUAUCUGGCCAAAUAUCCUCAGUGUGAAAGUGGAAACAGUCCAGUGCGUCCUUCUCCAUCAUCUCUACACCACAGCAGGUCUCACUCCAAUGAUCCACAGAGCCACUGUUAGAUGUUGAUCAACUAUUUUACAGCAUAACUCGUGACAAAUUACAGUUUAUACGCCCAAACAGACACACUGGUUUUGACCAAUUGUUUUAAAUGCAUCAAAUAACACUAUGACAGUGAUUUUGGGUGACACUGGCUUUGUGUCAUUAACACCAAAACUAAAACAGACAACUUUAUUUGAAGCCAAUUUUCUUUGCAAACCUCACUGCCUCACUGACUCAUGCAAGGAUGAUGAUCUUCUCUGAACUAGAAGGUUGAUUGGAGAGUGCACACUUCUGCGAAGGCUAAUGGGAAUCACCAUGUUAAAGAAGGUGAACAAAUAAAUUCUCGGUUCCAAAAAUGUAAACAGAUCUGCUCCAAAAUGUAAUCCUUUCUUUCUUAGGAAGUAUGCCCCACCCCUCAGCAAAAUGCCAUGAGAAGCGGUUUAGUUUCGAGAAAUCCUAUUGACAGUCACACAAACAAAUGGCCAUGAAAACAAAUUCUUUGCUGAAUGUAAUUAUGCUGUUGUUUGACCUUCAGGAAAGGAAGGUACCUCACACCAGAGUGAAUCAUUUCUCAACUGCCUCAUGAGGAAUGAAAAGUAGUUUCCACCUCCAGGCUGUUAAGCAUUUUGUCAUUACCCUGCUGCCAGACUAGAAAUAAACAAGUUUUCUUUGCUUCGUU